UUCAGCAUGUUGAUAUUGUGGAAGAGAACAAAUCAAGCAGCUGCCAAGAUUUGACUAUUUCCUAUGCACAGAAUGCUGAAACCUCCCACCUUAUGAAUCAAUAGGUCUCUAAGAUGGAAUGGAGGAUGAGGCUUUAAACUAAUUUGCAUGACUGCUUACCACUCUAGUGGACAGAAUACCUAUUUGGUAGCAGUGACUGGAAAGGCUAAUUUAAGGCUCAGAAUUUAACUCUGAACAGGCUUACCUGUAUGAUGUUGGAGUCUCAAGAAUGGUGAAGCAUAUUUUUAAACCUGAACCCAUGAAAUCCAAAUGUCUGACAGCGAGGUGCUGGAGACAUGGAGCGUACAGAAUACAUAGAAAUGGCUAAAUGCACUUAACUCAGAUGGUUAUAAAAUAGUAAUGGAGAAAAAAAUCACCAGCAAUGAUAGAGCAAGGUUAAGUGGCGUUGACUUAGGUGAACUCUUUGUAAAUGACAUCUUUGCUGGGAUUGCUGUGUGCACAGGCAAGGUGAAAGCCUGAUCCUGAGGAUGUGUGUGCUCAGCCUGCAAUAAACAUGCCAAGGACUCUCCCAGCUCAGGGGCUGAGCUGUGGUUAAGCACAUUGCACCCCGUGUGGUUCACGUGCUGGAUGCCGGACCUGCCCCAAUAAAAGAAGAGGAAGGAACCAUCUGUAGCAUCCCUGGGAACUGUAGCUUCCUGUGACCAUUCAACAAAAUCUUCAGUCUAUUUUUGUGUAUCCUGGCUGGUUAAAUUAUUGCUGCCUGGUGAGUAAAACACCGUGGCGCCACUGAAGAGCACAGCUCAG